UUCAGCUAACAAUUCUUGUACAUCUACCCUGUUAUAGGUUCUGGGAAAGGCUGUUAAUAUCUAUUGUUGAUUCUGCAAAUGACAGAGGCAGUAGACACUGCACAGGAAAACACAGCAAUUCAGAGAGGCUUAUCAUUUGCCUGUGGUCGCAUGGAUACCUUGUGGACUUGCCAAGAUUGGUCCAGCUCUCCCAGAGAGUACCUUACAGGUACAGCUUCCAAGGCAGUCAACUGUCUGGCCAUAAAGCGUGAUGGAGCAUGUAACAAUUACGUAAUGGCUGCAGAGACCUAACAGAUACGACUUAGUAUCUUUUAUAUCCUACCACCGGAGGAUACAAUAAAAGCAAGAUUUAAAUAUGUGUCAAUAAAGCUGAUACGGCACCAGCAGAACAGGCAACUCCAAGUCCUCUGGGUUUCUCGGUUCUCUGUUAGACCCUUUGUUAGAGAGAGGAUGUUCCAGAACCUCCAGCUGUGUUCUUUUGCACCAUGUUUGGGUAGAUGAACGUCACAAGGCUAUCAGCAAAUCCAGCUAAAACUUCUGCCCUUCUACCAUCUAUACUGGAAAUCUAUGGUUCUGGGGCUCCCCAGCUGCACCCUGAAAUGGAAGGUACACCCUAAAGGAGAAGCCUCCUGCUUCUGCUCCAGGAUUCAGCGAUGAGGAGCAUGGGGUGAAGGCUUUCUGGAACGUGUAGAGCACUGCUCCUCCAGCUCCUUCCUUCAACACUCCCAAGCCAGCCUCAUUUUCAAGUCGCACUUCCAUGUGGGGAGGAAAAAUGACAAUGCCAUCCAAUCUUCCUCCUUCCUCUUAAGCAUUUAGUAUAAAUCUGUGCACAGUGUUUCAAGCUUAGUCCUUCAUAUUCAAUCUUGACAUCCUUAACUUCCCCCAAAACUCCUAUUAUUUUCUCAAUAAAAUCUGUUUAUUGUAAA